CCAACUUCAGUGUAUCAAUUGGACAUGUGUCUUUUUUGGGGGGAGAUGGACAAGGCUUAGGUGAUCCACCACCACCAACGACUGGAGGAAGUGUAACUGGUGGGAGUUCAACUGGUGGUUUUACGAUUGGAGGAAGUGUAACUGGUGGGAGUUCUACUGGUGGUUUUACAACUGGAGGAAGUGUUACAGGUGGUUUGAUAGGUGGGAGUGUAACUGGAGGUAGUGUUACAGGUGGUUUGAUAGGUGGGAGUGUAACUGGAGGAAGUGUUACAGGUGGUUUUAUAGGUGGGAGUGUAACUGGAGGAAGUGUUACAGGUGGUUUUACGAUGGGAGGGAGUUUAACAGGUGGAAGUUUGACGGGGGGCUUAACACCAGGACCUUUGGAGGGCUUUUUCUUGGGUUGGUGCUUCUUGCAGUAGUCGCAUCCAAGAAUGGGAGUGACAGA
rnacentral:lncRNA from 1 species